rnacentral:rRNA from 1 species
AUUGAACGCUGGCGGCAUGCCUUACACAUGCAAGUCGAACGGCAGCACGGGGCAACCUGGUGGCGAGUGGCGAACGGGUGAGUAAUGCAUCGGAACGUGCCAUUGAGUGGGGGAUAACGUAGCGAAAGUUGCGCUAAUACCGCAUAUUCUGUGAGCAGGAAAGCAGGGGGACCGCAAGGCCUUGCGCUCUUUGAGCGGCCGAUGUCAGAUUAGCUAGUUGGUGAGGUAACGGCUUACCAAGGCAACGAUCUGUAGCGGGUCUGAGAGGAUGAUCCGCCACACUGGAACUGAGACACGGUCCAGACUCCUACGGGAGGCAGCAGUGGGGAAUUUUGGACAAUGGGCGCAAGCCUGAUCCAGCCAUGCCGCGUGAGUGAAGAAGGCCU